rnacentral:misc_RNA from 1 species
UAAAAAAAAAAAAAAAAAAAGUUGAGAGAGAACAUGGCCACCUUCUUUCUUUCUUUCUUUAUUUCUUGGUUAAAAAUUUCCAAUAUUUUUCUUCAUCCUUCUCUUCUAUCCCUCAAAUUCUGAAAUUCUUUUUUUGCUAUCACUUUUUUUCUUAAACCACUAUAUUAUUUGAAAUUAUGCACGUAUUCUAAAUUUUUUUGUCGAAAAUUCUAUCACAUUUUUGUUAUUCCAACCAAGUAUGUUUAUUGUUCCAUUUCUUGUUUUAUUACUCCUUAUUAGAAGUG